rnacentral:rRNA from 1 species
UAUAAUGGGUCAGCGACUUAUAUUCUGUAGCAAGGUUAACCGUAUAGGGGAGCCGAAGGGAAACCGAGUCUUAACUGGGCGUUAAGUUGCAGGGUAUAGACCCGAAACCCGGUGAUCUAGCCAUGGGCAGGUUGAAGGUUGGGUAACACUAACUGGAGGACCGAACCGACUAAUGUUGAAAAAUUAGCGGAUGACUUGUGGCUGGGGGUGAAAGGCCAAUCAAACCGGGAGAUAGCUGGUUCUCCCCGAAAGCU